rnacentral:rRNA from 1 species
UCAGAAAGACACCGCUGAAGGAUGCGGCUGCGGCCGAUUAGGUAGACGGUGGGGUAACGGCCCACCGUGCCAGUAAUCGGUACGGGUGAUGAGAGUCAGAGCCCGGAGACGGAAUCUGAGACAAGAUUCCGGGCCCUACGGGGCGCAGCAGGCGCGAAACCUUUACACUGCACGGAAGUGCGAUAGGGGAAUCCCAAGUGCGAGGGCAUAUUAGCCCUCGCUUUUCUCGACUGUAAGGUGGUCGACGAAU